UUAUGGAUAGGGUAUUUUUUUAAAACUCAUUUUUCAAAGAAGAAGCUAAACUAGUUAAUAAACGACAACUUACAGGGCCAGGCAGUAAGAAACAAGUGCCUGAUAAACGGUGGAGAAUGUGAGCACCCUCCACACGGGUGGGAGGAGACAGGGACGGCUUCUCUGGGGAGCGGCAGUGGCUGGAGCAAAGGUUUGCAGGAGGUGGGUCAUGUGCUCUGUGCUGCUGGUUUCUGUUUCACCUUGUGUCUGAGCUGGCUGGAAGGCUGGUUAUUCGUCCUGAGCUUCCUGCCUGUCCGUGCCCCGCCAACAGCUUCAGAAGACAGUGACUGGCGGCUGCCUGAGGAAUACCCGUGGGCAAGAGAAUUAGCAUUUAUGGAGCAUCACUGUCUGAGCAGCCCCUGGGUGUGUCCACUUUCAGGGCCUGUGAGGUUGGACCUUGGCAGCCUGAGCCCUUGAGUUGGCCACUUAAAUCUUGGGAAUAUUGAGAGUCUCGCCCUGUCACCCAGGCUGGAAUGCAGUGGUGCAAUCUCGUCUCGCCACAACCUCCACCUCCCGGGUUCAAGUGAUUCUCAUCUCAGCCUCCUGAGUAGCUGGGAUUACAGGCGCCUGCCUCCACACGUGGCUUUUUUUUUUUUUUUUUUUUGUAUUUUUAGUAGAGAUGGGGAUCUCACCGUGUUGGCCAGGCUGGUCUUGAACUUCUGGCCUCAAGUGAUCUGCCCACCUCAGCCUCCCAAAGUGCUGGGAGCUCACAGGCGUGAGCUAUAAUAAAAGCAAUAUAUAAAAGCAAUAUACUUAUGAUUUUAUUUCUUGGUUAAGUUCCUACUUAUUAUGUAUUUACCCUGCAUGCCAGGAGCUGUUCUAAGAGUUUACAUGUAUUAACUUGUUUGAUUCGCAUAAUAACCUUCACAUGCAGGAAUCAUUAUUAUGGUGACCUUAUGAAAGAGGAAAGAAAGGCACUAACAAUUGAUUUUAUGUUAUUUAGGUUAAGGUUCAUUGUGUUGUUCAAAUCUUGUAUAACUCUACUGCAUGUCUGUGUUUCUUACCCAUUAUCGAGAAGGCAACAUAAAUAUCUUACACUAUGACUGUGGAUUGUCAAUUUCUCAUUUGAAAGUUGGAGUUUUCCUUUAUGUUUGCCUUAUGUGGUGUUAGUCUAAUGAUAUCAGUUGGUACAUCUUUUUCCAUCCUUGUACUUUCAGUGUUUAGAUGUUCUUAUACUUGAAUUAUGUCUGCUGUAAGGUUUUUCUUUUCUUAUAGAAAGAUAUACUCUGGAAAGUUUUCAUAAAAUUAUAGUAUUUAGUCUAUUUUCAUUGAAUGUAAUUACCAAUGUAAUUGGGCUGAAAUCUGUCUUUCCAUUUGUUUUCUGUUUGUCACAUCAGUUCACUUUUCUCUACUUUCUUGAUUUCUUUGAGAUGACUUAGUAAUUUCAGAAAGUUCAUCCGACCCGUUAUUAGCUUGAUUGUGCCUUCAGUAUUCUCUUAGAUGCACUUGAGUUGUGCUGCCAAUAGCGCACCUGCGUGCCGUUUAAAACACUUUAAUGAGAUAUGAUGGACAUACAACAAAUGGCACAUGAACUACGUAAUUUGAUAAAUUUUGACAUAAAUGUGACAUAUAUAUGACAGACAUAUAAACACACUCAUAUAUAUAUAUUCAUGUGCCAUUUCAGUCAAUGACAGACCGAUAUAUGAUCGCAAUCUUAUAAGAUUAUAAUACUGUAUUUUUACUGUACCAUUUCUAUGUUUAGACAUAUUUAGAUACGCAAAUACUUACGACUGUGUUACAGUUGCCUACAAUAUUCAAUACAGCAACAUGCUCUGUAGGUUUGCAUCUUAUGAGUAAUAGUCUAGACCAUACAGCCUAGGUGUGUAGUAGGUGAUACCAUCUAGAUUUGCAUAGUACAGUCUGUGAUGUUGGCAUAAUGACGAAAUCACUGACGAUGCAUUUCUCAGAAAUUAUGCCUGUCAUUGAGUGAUGUGUGACUGUAUACAUAUGGGUGGACCUAUCACCGCAGUCAGGAUAGUGAACAUAUAUAUUAAAUCCAAAAUAUUUCUCAUGCCCUCUUGAAUCCUGUCUUCCUGCCCCUCCCACCCCUGCUCCUUGGAGGCAUUUAGUUCUGUAAAUUUCCCCCUAGCUUUGCUUUAGCAGCAUCCCGUGCAUUUUGAUAUUUUGUUCUGAUUUUAAUGUAAUUCAAAUAUUACAUAGUUUCCCUUUGAUUUCUUUUUUGACCCAGGGAUUAUUUAGAAGUGUGUUAUUUUGUUUCCAAAUAUUUGGGGAUUUUCCAGAUACUUUUCUGUUGUCUAAGCCAAUAACAAAUUUCUGACUCCCUGAAGUCAAAGAUCUGACUCCUCAGGGGGAGAGUUACACCCAAGAACCAGCGGUAUUUUAUGUUAGUGGUCAUUGCCAGAGUGAAUGCCACAGUGUUUGUGAUAAACCCUAAUAAACCCACCAGAGGGCAGCAAGCAGACAUGAAAAUUCUAUUAAAAAGUCUUCCCGAUCCAGGCAAGCAGAUGGGACUCAGGCAGGUGAGGGAAGAAAGGAGCCGGCAAAGCGGAUAAACGGAGGGGUAGUCUUUAAAGGAGAAUGGAGGAAAAUGAGGCUGGGUGGAAGGGAGAAAGG
rnacentral:lncRNA from 1 species